rnacentral:rRNA from 1 species
GACGAACGCGGCGGCGUGCUUAACAUAUGCAAGUCGAACGAAGAGCGAUGGAAGCUUGCUUCUAUCAAUCUUAGUGGCGAACGGGUGAGUAACGCGUAAUCAACCUGCCCUUCAGAGGGGGACAACAGUUGGAAACGACUGCUAAUACCGCAUACGAUCUAACCUCGGCAUCGAGGAUAGAUGAAAGGUGGCCUCUACAUGUAAGCUAUCACUGAAGGAGGGGAUUGCGUCUGAUUAGCUAGUUGGAGGGGUAACGGCCCACCAAGGCGAUGAUCAGUAGCCGGUCUGAGAGGAUGAACGGCCACAUUGGGACUGAGACACGGCCCAGACUCCUACGGGAGGCAGCAGUGGGGAAUCUUCCGCAAUGGACGAAAGUCUGACGGAGCAACGCCGCGUGAGUGAUGACGGCCUUCGGGUUGUAAAGCUCUGUUAAUCGGGACGAAAGGCCUUCUUGCGAAUAGUGAGAAGGAUUGACGGUACCCGGAAUAAAAA